CUAAGACGAUUCAGAUAGAAGGGAAGACAAUCAAGGCACAAAUAUGGGACACAGCUGGUCAAGAGAGGUAUCGAGCCAUUACCAGCGCCUAUUACCGUGGCGCAGUGGGGGCACUUCUUGUCUAUGACAUAACAAAGAGAAAAACAUUUGAUAAUGUACAGAGGUGGCUUCGUGAACUCAGAGACCAUGCAGAUUCAAACAUUGUCAUCACGAUGAUUGGAAACAAGGCUGACUUGAAUCAUCUUAGAUCAGUACCAGACACCGAUGCUCAGGUUUUAGCAGAGAGGGAG
rnacentral:misc_RNA from 1 species